AUUGAACGCUGGCGGCAUGCUUUACACAUGCAAGUCGAACGGCAGCGCGGGCUUCGGCCUGGCGGCGAGUGGCGAACGGGUGAGUAAUAUAUCGGAACGUACCCAAGAGUGGGGGAUAACGUAGCGAAAGUUACGCUAAUACCGCAUACGAUCUAAGGAUGAAAGCAGGGGAUCGCAAGACCUUGUGCUCCUGGAGCGGCCGAUAUCUGAUUAGCUAGUUGGGUAGGGGUAAACGGCCCCAACCGAAGGACAACGAUCAGUAGCUGGUCUGAGAGGACGACCAGCCAC
rnacentral:rRNA from 1 species